GUCAUGAUGUAGGCCGGAAAAUAGUUUCCUUGUUCAUAAACCUCCUAAAACAACUUGCAAACCAAUACAAAAUAAAGUGGAGUACAGUAUAUUGCUACCUUUUCCCUAUACCUGCCUUAAGGUAUUCAUCUUAAUCCAAUAUCCUUACCCUGCCUCUCUCUCUAACUUGUGUGUGCACCUACAGCCUGAGAAAACAUGGAAACUUUACAAUGAUAUUCCGGGGCCAGUCAAUUCCAGAACCCUGCAUUUACACUUUCAAUCAUCAAGCUGGAGCGCAUCUCCUUUGACAGCAGACAUUGGGCCGGUGUUCUCCUUGACAAAGCACUGACCUGCAUCUGUGAUGGUGACGUCAGGAGAGCAUCGGCUUCAGCGCUGGAAGCAGGGGAAGACGAGCGAAUGAAACUUCACAGGCAUACAGACUUCCUCCCAGACCGAAAAAAACAGCGCUGAAAUUGCUGCAGGGUCGGACAGGGCAACCUUGUCUUCAGGCACUCAGAAACUCAAUCUGGAAAAAAAUGAAGAGGAAGAAAAACGUCUGAUUGUUUCGAUAUUUAUAUUUAUUUUCCUCGGAGCUCCGAAGUGAUCUGACGGGACAGAGGCGCAGGUACGGAGAAGAAGAAGAAGAAAAAUGCAAGAGAAAAUUGUCAGAAAAAAAAUGAA